UUCACCUGCUUUUAUGCCUGGACCAGAUGACUGAAUGUAGAACUUUAGGCACUUUUUUUUUUUUUUGAGACGGAGUCUCGGUUUGUUGCCCAGGCUGGAGUGCAGUGGCGCAAUCUCGGCUCACUGCAAGCUCUGCCCCCCGGGUUCACGCCAUUCUCUUGCCUCAGCCUCCCAAGUAGCUGGGACUACAGACUCCCACCACCAUGCCCGGCUAAUUUUUAUAUUUUUUAGUAGAGACAGGGUUUCACCGUGUUAGCCAGGAUGGUCUCAAUCUCCUGACCUGGUGAUCCACCUGCCUUGGCCUCCCAAAGUGCUGGGAUUACAGGUGUGAGCCACCAGAUCGGCCCUUUAGGCACUUUCUACUUCUCAAGGUCAAGAAACAUCCUUUAAAAAGUUAAUUCCCUUUUCUGGAGCCUAAGCCAGAUCUUAUCUAGGCCUUGUGUUGCCAUCUGUUAGCAUUGAUUUCUGGAAUGGAGCAGCUUUCUCAAAGUUUGGUCUUGCUAGUCAUGAGGUCAUGUCAGUGUCUUAGGUCACUGCUGCUCACCUUCCUUACCCAGGGAGUAUACUGCAUAGGUUUCUGAACACCUGUUUUCAUUAUUCACUGUUCCUCUCACUGCCAAGAAUGGAGGGACCCUCAGUUGAAGAUCAAAUUGACUCUGAAGAAAAACUGGAGAUGUUUCUCUUGGAGUUUGGAUAGAGUAUUCACUUGAUAACAUGUUUUUCCCCUGCCUUGCUCUUCACAAGAACAUCUGGCCAGGCAUUAACAAUUAGUAAAUUUUUUUGCAUAUGAACAGUAUUUUUCUGGUCAUGUAGAUGGGUGCACAUGACACUAAACAGCAUUGUUUAGUGUUAUCCCUCUUAACUGGUGGGUUGUAUUUGGGGUGGAGGCUGUAGCCGAGGAGAAGACAUUCACCUCUGUACUCGAGAAACUUUGUGUAGGAAUUUAGUUUAUUUUUUUAUUUUUUUUAAUUUUUUAUUUUUUACUACUUUUACUGUUAGCACAAUGCUAUAAUUGAGCUAAUCUUUGUAGUUUGGUGCAGGACCACCAAGUUUGUGUGACCCAUUACCUACUUUUUCCAUGCUCAGCCAUUACCCUGUCCUGGGGCAUCUGAGGGCAGUAAGGAACAGGUGUCCAAAGGAGGAAUGUUGGUGCCUAUGAGUAUGUUUUCCAGUUGUAUUGAAUUUCUUACUUGGUGUAUUUUUGACUUGUCUUAGUUUCUUUCCUUGUGGUCUAUGCUAUUUUACUUGCGAUUUGUUGGAUAUUCUCCCUGUCAUUAAAGAGUUGUAAAAUGGAAGUUAGUUUCUCUAUGCAAAUGCUUUAAUGGAUGAAGCUGAUAGGUUUAGCAUUGAUUUUUGCUGGUGUCCUUCAACAAGCAUGAAGGUGAUAAAUGUGUUUCCAUGGCUUUAGACUCAUUUUUGAAGUCUUGGAUUGUGUGAACAUUCUUAGAAACAAUAAAAUGUUUUAAUUAAAAGCCCUCGACUACCAGCUGAAUUCAGUGUCUACUAGGAAAAUGGGUAGAUUUGUUACAUUGUCCCUUUGCUCUCUAUGACUUUGUUCCAGUUGUCAAGGAACUUAAAUGGGUAUUCAGGAAAAAGAAUUCUUGUUUCCCUUUCCUCACCUUGCCAGUUAAAUAACUCCUGGUGACACUUCAGGUGGUAGAAUUGAAACACAAACCUGACUUCUGACCACAUGGGUCAAAGGCAAAAGGCAAAUGGCUUCAAAGCCCUUAGUGUGCUUAUCCAGUUCAGGCAGUGAGGAGAUAACCUCUGCUUUCCUCCCUGAGGAGUUUGGAGUAUUUAAGGGGGGAUGGGGGGGGUGUCACUUUGAAAAUAUGUUGCUUUUUCUCCUGAUUGUAUUGAGGCUGAUAUGGAAGGGUUAUUUCUUUCUGGCCAAUACUUUUUGGUAUUUCUAAAUAUUGCAAUCUUGAUUUUUACUAUUAAAUUUGUUAAUUGUCAGUUCUGGCUUUUUUGCAUAAAGAGUUGGUCCAUUAACUUGCCAAUUUGAAGCUUCUAACUAGAUAUUCCCUACUGAAAGUUUUGGAUUUGUUUUUAGUUUGUGGAGCAGUCUUAGCUGGGGACAGGUAAUUGACAACGGCAGAGAUACUUUCUUUUCCUAGGAUUCUAAGUCUGUAAUCCACAUCCUCAAUGUAUUCACAGGACUUUAAAAUUCUCUCCAAAUGAGGAAGGAAAUAUCCUGUUGCUUUCUAAUGUUUACUAAAAGUUGUGUUUAGAACAACAGAUUUUAAUAGGCAUCUUCCUUUGUUAUGUGUCAUUAGCCCUUUGCCCGUUUACCUUAGGGCUCUUUGAAGGAGAAAUGGAUGGGAGAAAACCUGUCACUUGGCGAAAGUAAAAGGGAUAAUUAACUGGCUCAGAGCUUAUGUGCAGAGUUCCAAGCCCCAAAGUUAAUCUAGAACCACUCGAUAACACCAAUAAAAAUAUUUAUUUCACAUCUGUUAUAUAUCUGGAAAAUGUUCUAAGCAUCUUACACAUAUUUCUCAUUAAAUCCACAGGUGACCAUUGUGAGGUAGAUAUUUUGUUCUAAUUUUCCAGAUGAGGAAGCUGAGACCCUAAAAGGCUGACCGGUUCCCUGAUGUGUUACCUGCUUCUGCUACUGAUCCAAACUGCAGAACUUCUCAUUCAUCCCCAAGGCCUCCAGGCAGUAUCCAAUGGGGAAUCAGCUCUAAAAGGAACCAGACCAACGUUUUCCAGCCCCUUCAUUCUGCUUCCCUCUGUGUGAGGAAAGGAUAGAAAUGUUCAGGACAUCAUCAUACAGGCUCCUCAUCUACAAAGUUCCAGUAGCAGUGACGCCUACACGGAAGACUUGGAACUGCAAACAGGCUGGGGUCACCUCAGUGACAUCUGACGCUGUCCAACCAGAAGUUCGAUUUUUGUUCUGGGGGUGAAGGAGGAAACAGACUGUACUAAAGGAC
rnacentral:lncRNA from 10 species